rnacentral:misc_RNA from 1 species
GGAAGGAUCAUUAACACGUUAAACACGUUUAAUAACCCCAAAACGUGCGCACUGUAAUUGACUGAUCUUCAUGCUUGGUAAGGCAGCUGGGAACCCUUUGGAAGGGCAUAGUUCCCAGUCGCUAUAUUCCUUUUUAGGAGCAAGCAUGUUUGGUUCGGUAUUUUAUGCUCUUCUCGCUAGGGAUAUGAAAGUUGCUUGCAAUUUUCUAUUUUUAGCGGUAUUAAUAACUCUGUAAAAUUUUGACUAAAAUUGUGCUCUUGGAAUUAGGCCUUACAGGCAGCUAAGUCUAUUUGCACGUUAAACUUUAACAAAAGAACAACUCUUAGCAACGGAUAUCUCGGCUCUCGUAACGAUGAAGAACGCAGCGAAAUGCGAUACGUAAUGCGAAUUGCAGAAUUCAGUGAAUCAUCAAAUCUUUGAACGCAACUUGCACUUUCGGGUAGCCCCGGGAGUAUACCUCUCUGACUAUCGGUUCCACCAAAACUCGACUGCGUGUUGGCAAGGUGAACUAAUUUAACCUUGGCCGCUCGUGGAUUCGGAGGAUGAAUGUGUUGCAGUAAAUUGUAACUCAUUUUGAGUGAGCGCGCCUAUUUACUUCAGCUUGGAAAUGUUGAUUAUUUUAAACCUUAUCCUUCUAUGGAUGGUAUUGAUCAAUAGUGGCAAUCCUGCUGAUGUUUGAUAAGAGACACUCGUUGUCUUUACAAAACAUCUACAUCGGCUGGAAGUCCAGAUCAAUCGAGUCAAAGGAGUUUGAGGGAUCAACUAGCAUUUCAAGUGCGAAGGAAUAGCGUCAGACGAACCAUCUAGGGUUCAACAUAAAUCGAAUUUUGAUGUCAGAUGAAGUAAGAGAACCCGCUGAAUUUAAGCAUAUUAUUAAGCGGAGGAAAAGAAACUAACAAGGAUUCCCCUAGUAACGGCGAGUGAAGCGGGAAGAGCUCAAGUUUAAAAUCGGUGUUCCGAGAGGGACAUCGAAUUGUAACCUAGAGACACUAUCUCAGCGUGUGACCCGGGUAUAAAUCCUUUGAAACAGGGUAUCAUAGAGGGUGAGAAUCCCGUCUUUGACCUGGAGUUCGCCGCGUACGAGAGGUGUUCAACGAGUCGCAUAGCUUGGGAGUGCUGUGCUAAAUGGGUGGUAAAUUUCAUCUAAAGCUAAAUAACGACGAGAGACCGAUAGCGAACAAGUACCGUGAGGGAAAGAUGAAAAGAACUUUGAAAAGAGAGUGAAAAAGUACUUGAAAUUGUUAAGAGGGAAGCACAGGAGACCAGUUAUAUCUGGGCCUAUUCUUUUCAUUGGUACAGCUUGUGGGGGUGGCCAGUGAGCUUAAAACCGCUGGUGCUUCUGUGGGUUGUGCCGGUGAACCCUGUAGGUUUGGGUGAGUCAGGAUCAAGUAGAUUCGCGGGAGAAAGCUGCGGGAAGGUAGUGCUGCGGUGUAAAAACCGGGGCAAACUUAUAGCCCGUUUCCAUACCGUGGGUUUGCUUGAGGAAUAUCGAUAAUACCCGCCGUAAGGCUGCGUGUGCUUGGCCCUGGCUUUCUUGUUGGUUCGGAGAACAAAGUUCUGCGGGCUGGCAACGGGGGUUACUGGCUGAGACACAUGACAUGGGUAUUCGCGAUCUUGACGAAAUGGUCUUCUUUGACCCGUCUUGAAACACGGACCAAGGAGUCUAACAUAUAUGCGAGUAUUUGGGUGCAAAACCCUGGUGCGCAAUGAAAGUGAAGGCAGCCUUUGGUUGCUGAGGUAGGAACCCGCAAGGGGGCACUAUCGACCGAUCGUUCAUUUAUGAAAGAUUUGAGUAAGAGCAUAUCUGUUGGGACCCGAAAGAUGGUGAACUAUGCCUGAUCAGGGUGAAGCCAGGGGAAACUCUGGUGGAGGCUCGUAGCGAUACUGACGUGCAAAUCGUUCGUCUGAAUUGGGUAUAGGGGCGAAAGACUAAUCGAACUAUCUAGUUGCUGGUUCACGC